UCUGCCCUGCCAUGUUCGUGAUGCAAACAAAAUCUCUGAACCGAUGUUUAUAAAUAUGUGAGCCCCAAUUUCGUGUGAUGAACGUCAGGCCUUCACUGGAAGCCGGAAUUCACCGAGACGGUUCCUUUAAUGGAAUAGGGUCCAAGAAUAUGUUUCACACGGCAUUUGGCGGGGUAUUU
rnacentral:other from 2 species